rnacentral:rRNA from 1 species
AUUGAACGCUGGCGGCAUGCUUUACACAUGCAAGUCGAACGGUAACAGGCCGCAAGGUGCUGACGAGUGGCGAACGGGUGAGUAAUGCAUCGGAACGUGCCCAGUCGUGGGGGAUAACGCAGCGAAAGCUGCGCUAAUACCGCAUACGAUCUCUGGAUGAAAGCGGGGGACCGAAAGGCCUCGCGCGAUUGGAGCGGCCGAUGUCAGAUUAGGUAGUUGGUGGGGUAAAGGCCCACCAAGCCAACGAUCUGUAGCUGGUCUGAGAGGACGACCAGCCACACUGGGACUGAGACGCGGCCCAGACUCCUACGGGAGGCAGCAGUGGGGAAUUUUGGACAAUGGGCGCAAGCCUGAUCCAGCAAUGCCGCGUGCAGGAAGAAGGCCUUCGGGUUGUAAACUGCUUUUGUACGGAACGAAACGGUCCGGGUUAAUACCCUGGGCUAAUGACGGUACCGUAAGAAUAAGCACCGGCUAACUCCGUGCCAGCCGCCGCAGUAA